CCUACGGGUGGCAGCAGUGAGGAAUAUUGGUCAAUGGGCGCGAGCCUGAACCAGCCAAGUAGCGUGAAGGAUGACUGCCCUACGGGUUGUAAACUUCUUUUAUAAAGGAAUAAAGUGAGGCACGUGUGCCUUUUUGUGUGUACUUUAUGAAAAAGCAUCGGCUAACUCCGUGCCAGCAGCCGCGGUAAUACGGAGGAUACGAGCGUUAUCCGGAUUUAUUGGGUUUAAAGGGAGCGUAGAGGGGUUGUUAAGUCAGUUGUGAAAGUGUGCGGCUCAACCGUAAGACUGCCUUUAAGCUUGGCAGUAUUGAGGACGGUGGAGGUAGGCGGAAUUCGUGGGGUAGGGGUGAAAUGCUUAGAUAUC
rnacentral:rRNA from 1 species